GUGGAGGAAGAGGAGGAGGAGGAGGUGGAGCGCAGUGAGUGUGUCGUGCUGCACGGGAUCUUCAGACUGGGGAAGAAGAGUCACGAUGUCCUGCUCACCAGAACCAGACUGACCUGGACCCCCAUCACGCCUGAGACCCCCACAGGUGAGCCAUGUGUGCCACAGCCAGGUGUGCUGCUGCUGCAGGACGUUUAUGCAGUGAAGGUGAAGCGGCGGCGAGCAGCGGGCCAGGAGUCGGGGGGAGCCGUGCUCGGCGUGGCCCUCUUCUGCUGCAAGAGGAGAGGGAGGAAGCUGGAGGAGGACACGCUUCACCUCCACAACGCCUCCGCAGA